UAGAAAGACAGGAAUUGAACCUGCAAUAAAGAGAUCAAAACUCUUUGUAAUCCCAUU
rnacentral:tRNA from 1 species